rnacentral:rRNA from 1 species
GCCGCGAGGUAGAGCAAAUCUCAAAAAGACAUCUCAGUUCAGAUUGCAGGCUGCAACUCGCCUGCAUGAAGUCGGAAUUGCUAGUAAUCGUAGGUCAGCAUACUACGGUGAAUACGUUCCCGGGCCUUGUACACACCCGCCCGUCAAACCAUGAGAGUUGGCAACACCCGAAGUCGGUAGUCUAACCGCAAGGAGGACGCCGCCGAAGGUGGGGUUGAUGAUUAGGGUUAAGUCGUAACAAGGUAGC